rnacentral:snRNA from 1 species
GCACUUUGGCAGCACAUAUACUAAAAUUGGAAUGACACAGAGAAGAUUAACAUGGGCCCUACACAAAGAUGACACAAAUUCACAAAGGUUCCAUAUUUUU